GAUGAACGCUGGCGGCGUGCCUAAUACAUGCAAGUCGAGCGAACAGACUAGGAACUUGUUCUCCUGACGAUAUCGACGGACGGGUGAGUAACACGUGGAUUAACUCCUUAUCAAACUGGGAUAACUUCGGGAAACCCGAGCUAAUACCGGAUAUAAUAUUUUAUCGAACUGAUCAAUAGUAAAAGAGGGUUUUGAAGUCACUUACAGAUGGAUAUGCGCCGCAUUAUGUAGUUGGUAAGGUAACGGCUUACCAAGACAACGAUGCGAAGCCGACCUGAGAGGGUGAUCGGCCACACUGGAACUGAGACACGGUCCAGACUCCUACGGGAGGCAGCAGUAGAGAAUCUUCCGCAAUGGGCGAAAGCUUGACGGAGCAACGCCGCGUGAGUGAUGAAGGUCUUCGGAUCGUAAAACUCUGUUAUUAGGGAAGAACAAAUGUGUAAGUAACUAUGCACGUCUUGACGGUACCUAAUCAGAAAGCCACGGCUAACUACGUG
rnacentral:rRNA from 1 species